rnacentral:rRNA from 1 species
AUGGGCGCCGACAACCUGGCCAAGGGGAUACUGUGGUGCGGCGAGAUGACGGUGGAGAGGCUCCGGUGGGGGAACGAGGUGCUCAGGAAGAGGAUCCAGCCCGGUGAUGCUGAGGCCGAGCCAUGCAAGCUUAUCCAGGUUAAGAAGGUGACAAAAAUGUCUGAGAAAGUGGCUGCUGGAAUACUGUCUGGAGUCGUGAAGGUUACUGGCUAUUUUACAGGUUCAUUAGCUAACUCGGAAGCUGGCAAGAAGUUUUUCAACCUAUUGCCUGGAGAGAUUGUUCUUGCUUCGCUUGAUGGAUUUGGUACGGAGAGAAAGCCGCUGCUGCGACGAAUGAAGGGCUCGAUGCAGCCGGCCACGCCCUAG